UACGUAGGGUGCAAGCGUUGUCCGGAAUUAUUGGGCGUAAAGAGCUCGUAGGCGGUUUGUCGCGUCUGCUGUGAAAACCCGAGGCUCAACCUCGGGCCUGCAGUGGGUACGGGCAGACUAGAGUGCGGUAGGGGAGAUUGGAAUUCCUGGUGUAGCGGUGGACUGCGCAGAUAUCAGGAGGAACACCAAUGGCGAAGGCAGAUCUCUGGGCCGUAACUGACGCUGAGGAGCGAAAGCAUGGGGAGCGAACAGG
rnacentral:rRNA from 1 species